rnacentral:rRNA from 1 species
GAAGGUGGCAAGCGUUAUUCGGAUUUACUGGGCGUACAGGGAGCGUAGGCGGUUCGGUAAGCCCUCUGUGAAAUCUUCAGGCUUAACCUGGAAAAGUCGGGGGGGACUGCUGGGCUAGAGGACGGGAGAGGAGCGCGGAAUUCCCGGUGUAGCGGUGAAAUGCGUAGAGAUCGGGAGGAAGGCCGGUGGCGAAGGCGGCGCUCUGGAACGUUUCUGACGCUGAGGCUCGAAAGCGUGGGGAGCAAACAGGAUUAGAUACCCUGGUAGUCCACGCCUUAAACUAUGAAUACUAAGUGUCGGCGGUUUACCGCCGGUGCCGCAGCUAACGCAUUAAGUAUUCCGCCUGGGAAGUACGGCCGCAAGGUUG